GAUGAACGCUGACAGAAUGCUUAACACAUGCAAGUCAACUUGAAUUUGGGUUUUUAACUUAGGUUUGGGUGGCGGACGGGUGAGUAACGCGUAAAGAACUUGCCUCAUAGCUAGGGACAACAUUUGGAAACGAAUGCUAAUACCUAAUAUUAUGAUAAUAGGGCAUCCUAUAAUUAUGAAAGCUAUAAGCGCUGUGAGAGAGCUUUGCGUCCCAUUAGCUAGUUGGAGAGGUAACGGCUCACCAAGGCGAUGAUGGGUAGCCGGCCUGAGAGGGUGAUCGGCCACAAGGGGACUGAGACACGGCCCUUACUCCUACGGGAGGCAGCAGUGGGGAAUAUUGGACAAUGGACCGAGAGUCUGAUCCAGCAAUUCUGUGUGCACGAUGAAGUUUUUCGGAAUGUAAAGUGCUUUCAGUUGGGAAGAAACAAAUGACGGUACCAACAGAAGAAGUGACGGCUAAAUACGUG
rnacentral:rRNA from 1 species